rnacentral:lncRNA from 1 species
CUUCUAAUUCAUUAUGCAAUUACUAAUCAUGUAUGUUCUGGUUCACAACUCUUUUGAGUACUUCUAAUCUAUAGGACCCUAUAGGUUAGAGUUGUAGUAUAGGUGUAAGCGUGGUGCUUAGACCUAGAUUACUUGUGGAUAUCCCCUGACUAGCUGGAUCGUGUGGUAGGCCGCGUAGGUGACAGUUACGUUGGUCCUCUGUAGUCCACCUCUCGUUAGUAGGACGGAUAGGGUUUAUCGGCCUAUGGAUAAGCAUCCUUUGUGGUGUACUCUUAUCACGUGGUUCGUCCCAGACAUAGACAUACCCCUUUGAAGUAGAGAAACCAUAGUUAUCCUCUCUAUUCUGCUACCAUCGCCCAUAUACUAGAAUUGCUCUACUCUCUAUUCCCAUAUUAUCACUCACUGUUAUCUUACCUUUAAUAUUGUUCUUAUUUGAUUCUAUCAUCUUUCCUAUUUACACCUAUCUAUCUAUCUUGGUUAAGUUAGAGCGUAGUUGGUUCUCCCGUUUCCCUGUGGAUACGAUAAAACCUUUAACCGGGUAAAAGCUUCAACGGUAUCCGUGCGCUUGCGGAUUAUCUGUGUGCGUAUAAAUACCAUAGUACACUCUAGUGCCAUGCUGGGGAUGACAACCUAGUAUUCAAGUGGUGUUAGCAAGUGUCAACAAGCAUUUUUGGCGCCGUUGCCGGGGAAACGGUUGCUGAGUUGACUACGAACUAGUUUAAUCAUUUUAUAAAAAAAAAUAAAAAAAAAUAUAUAUUUUCCUUUUAUCCUUUGCCUCAUCUCUGCUAUUCUUUCUUCUUAUCUAAUCCUUGAUCUCUGGUCUAUUAUGAAUUCAAACAUGUCUAUCUAUGAAUUUCAUAGACCUAUGGGCACUAUCUCGAACCACCAAAAUCUUCAAAGCCUAUCAUAGCAUCUAGUUUUGAGAUAGACCCCGAAUACAUAGAAUUUAUUCAAAAACAACCUUUCUCAGGAGAAGGUGAGGAAAACCCAUACACACACCUAAGAGAGUUUUAUCGAGUCUGUGACCUCCUUCGCAUAGAAGGCAUGUCCAAUGAGGCCCUUAAAUGGAAGCUCUUUCCGUUCUCUUUAACGGGAAAAGCUAGACAUUGGUAUAAACUCAAAGUAGGGAGUGUUCAUGGAGAUUGGAAGGAGUUAUAUAGUAGUUUUCUUUCUAAAUAUUUUCCAAUCUCCAAAGUAGUGGAACUUCGGCGUGAGAUUCUUUCUUUUAGACAACUGGAAGAAGAAUCUCUUGGCAAAUCAUGGGACCGCUUUAUUAACCUUACUCUCACUGGCCCAAAACUUUCUAUUCCAGAAGAAGUUCUUCUAAUUCACUUUUUUGAGGGCCUUAGUAGGAAAAAUAAGCAAACCCUUCAUACGGCCUCUGGAGGAUCUUUCC